UUCAUUGGAAAACACAUUUAAUUUCAAAGUAAACAAAGAUGUUUGUACAUUAAAGUAUUUAAUUAGUGAAACAAUUAUCAGUGUAACAAGCUGAAAAAUACAGCAACUUGAUACAAGACUGAGGUAACAAAAUACUUCACCAAAAAUCUAAAGAAUCCCACAGAGGGCUGAUGUUCAGUGGUUAUUGCGGGUGAGACAAUUCACAAGAAUUAGAGAAAGUCCUUACACAACUGCAUGCAGGGGGUCUGCUGGAAAAAAAAAAAAAAAAAAAAAAAAAAGACAGCCCAGGAGUAGUGCAACAGAUUUAACAAGAAACGAAUUAAAAUGUAGAAACGGAUUUUCAAUUUACUUUGAAGAAUACAUAAGAAAUUGAAAACUACUCUCUAUGCAACAUUUUGAAUGCUAAGUGAAAAACCAUGCAUUUUGGCACAAAAUUUAUUAAAGAUUAUGCCAUACUAAUAAAUUAAUUACUAAUAUCUCAUUACUGAAUGGUCACAGUCAUUCAGAAAUGGGUAAAGAGAUUAAUGAUUAUAAAAUGGACAGAUGAUCCUUCGAGUUGCUGCUGCAAACAGGGAUUUCCAGGCUGCCCCCAGCGUACACACACUUGUGCAGUACAGGACUCCGAGGUAGUCCACGGUACAAGUCCUCAACACCCAAGAAAAUGCAGCUCUUGCCCAUGCUGUACUUGCAUUUAACAUUGAAAUUAAAACUAAAAAGCCUCUGAAGUAAAUACUGUGAACAUUCUGACCCUACUCUUUCAUGCCACCUCAGAAUCCUUCUCAGUAUGCCCAACCAUAGCUCUGUGCCAGGGUGUUCUGCGACAACCAGCCUCUAGGACAGCGACUCUAUCUAAUUCUCCUUGCAACUGAACUCACAGAUCAAGAGGCUAUUCAGUCUGUUGAGCAUUUUUGAGACCUUUCUGGAGGAAUGUGCACAGGGUUUUUUACCCAGUGUUAGCAGAGAGGCAGGGUCUUGUCAGAGAAGAUGCCAUGGUGAGGAUUAUUUGUUUGUUGAAUGUGGUCAGCUCCACCAGGGCAAGGAUCAGGUCUGCUCGUUCUCAGCCAUUUACAGUAUAUCCUGGGUAGAGCUUGGCACACAGGAAGCACUCACUAGAGUCAUGGAUGGAUGAUCCAUCCAUGGAUGGAUGAAUGGGUGGGUGGGUGGUUUUGCACAGAGAAUGCUAUUUCUAAGGGACUCAUGUAGAUUUUUUUCUUUCUUUUUAAAACAUGAAAUCACAUGUCAGUAUGAUGUGAGGCUGGUGAAAGUCAUUUAUUAAAGUCACACAAGAUAAGUUAGGUUGUGUUUUUAGCAAUGUUCACCUUGUUUACAAGCAUGAGUAAUGUGGGUGCAGAGUUGUAGCCCCCACCUGUGGAAUGGAAUCAGACCCCACUUGUGAAAGGCUUCCCAUUUUCGGUCAUCUUCCACUUGUAAGAUGGCAUCCUAAAGAUACUCGUCUUGGGCUUGGAAGGUGGGAGAGGAAGAUAAUGAAAGAAAUACUGGCCAUUUUGGUAAGGAAAAAGAUACUUUAUAAAUCCAGUAGGCAAGAGAGAGGGGGUUCUUUCCUAAACAGAAUGCCUUCAAGUAUCUUCCUCUUUAGGUUCCAUGGCGAGACAGGGUGAUGAAUGGGCUUCUUCAGGGAAGGAAGGGGAGGCCGCACUCUCUCAUUGGGCACACUUAGAACAUUAUUUCUACUGCUCCUGUCUGAAUCAAUCCUACAUGAAGCAUUUCAGUUGUCAGAAUGUACUUGGCUGACCUUGAGUUAUAAAACAUGUUUCAACUGAGAGGGGUGAAAAUUAUUCUCAGGGAGAGGUGCGUGAGUUGUUCUUGGAGCAUCAUAAUGAUACCAAUUACCUAUUCUACAAUUUGUAGACAGCAUCCUAUAAUUUUCAUUUUGGGGCACCAUGAUCUGUUUGCUCAAAAAAACCCCAAAAACCUAGCAUAUGCAUGCAAGACAAACCACCUUCGAUGGUUUCACAAACAUUUGUGCAUUAUGGAAAAAGAGCAAAACCCAGAAAUGCUUCCCUCCAGAGUGAGAAUCCACCCAUGGAUUUCUCCCUUUUUGGGGUUUGUGCCUGGCCUCCUCUGUGCCAGCCUGAGAGCCUUCUCAUCUGCUGCUUGAGGGACAAACCAAUGCAGGCAAGACAAUCAGCCCUUAUGUGCUUGGCCCCGUGUUCCAGCUGGGAGAGCCCAGCAUCUUUUGGCCCGCCUCUAGGGCUCUUCCUCUCCAUUCAAGGUUCUUACCAGCUCUAAAGGCCUUUGCCAACAAGGUCUAAGCAGAUUCUUCAGGAGUCCAAGCUAAGAAUGUUUCUAGGAGGGGAUGUAGGAUCAGUCUCAAUUAGCGAGCAGACUAAACAUUUUGAAAAGACUUGUAAUUGUGCUAUUUCAAAUUCAGCUCAGAAGAAAAUAUUUGUGAAAGAUAAGAAAAAUGUGUAAAGGGCAGAAAAUGCUCUAAUUAAAGGAAGCCUGAAAUUCUGAGGGUUUUUGGAUUGACAUCUAUAGUAUUUCAUUUGAGAAGAGCCAGGACAGUUGAGAAGCAGAGAAACCCAAGGAAAAUAAGUAGCUGAUUUUCCAGUUUUGCACCUUUCUCUGAACUUAAGACUUAAAAAAAUAUUAACAGGUAGAAUCAGGUUCAAUGUAGGUUAAAGCGUUAACACUGCCUGGUUCUGGUGAGAGGUGUUGGAGUGUUUGGUGUUUUCAUUUGGCUUCUGGAUGCCCAUUUGAAUAGUCACCAAUGUGAACUGGGUGCAUGCAACCAGGCCCCAGCUGUGUGCAGGUGUAUAGAGCACUCAUGGCCAAGGUUGGAUGGCACCAACUUUACCACCUGGAGCUCCUCCUGGCACAAAAGCAUUCUAGACUUUGCUCCAAAGGAGGGUUAGUUGCUGAGCUCACUAAGUCUUGACCAUAAAAUAAGUCUUGAGCUCACUAAGUUCCUGAUGGGAACUGCUUUCCUCACCAGUUUGUUAGAAUUUUCAGGAGUUGUCAUCGUUUGAUCAAAAUACAGUGGUGAAUCUUUGGUCAUUUUAAAAUUUACCUAUCACAGUUUACUGUUUAAGAUGUUGUUUUGAAGCAUCUUGCCCAGAAACUCUUAAGGGUGAUUUGAUGUCUUGGAAACCAUGAUAGCAACAGGGACCCAGGAGUUCAGAAAACCAUUUCAGGGUUUCCUUCUCAGAAUUUAGACACCCAGAUUAGAGAGAGAGGGAGGGAAGGAAGCUAUGGUGAUAAAGCUACCAUAAAUAAAGCUAACUUUUAUUCAUUGUUUUGAAUAAAGAUGUAUUUGUGCAAAAUAAAAGUCACUCAAAAAUAAGACAGUGACAGGUAAAGGACAUUGUUCACGUGAAGAACUCUUAACUGAAUGCAGAGCUGGGACUGUUCACUCUCCAGGGCUUUGCUUUCUUGUCACCACGGUCAUCAACAAUUGUGCCCUUGGAUAUGGAUAUGGAGAACUUGCUGGUGACCGCGGUUGGGGGCAAGAUUGAGGGAGCUUAAGGCUUCAGCAUCACUCAGCUCCCCAGUGUACCCAGGAAUCCCAGUGGGCCCCACCCUGGCAGUAGAUGAUGGGAGCAAAGCCUUGGCCUGCAGGAGAGGCUGGUGCACAGUGGCUUCUGUGCAGCUGUUCUCCGUGAGCAUGGCAGCCUCCGAGUGCUUCCGAGGAAGCUGGGAGAAAGUCUCACAACUUCCCGUUCUGGCAUGGUCCGGGGGGAGAAUACAAGGGCUUUCAGACCCUGCAGGAGAGACAGGGGUGGGAGGAAGCAAGGAGGCCAGCCCAGUCCACAGUCCUGAAGCCGGGUCCUGUCUCAGAAAAGCCAACAGCAACAAGGCCUGGAAGGGACCCGGGGGGGCGGGGGGGGGGGGGCAGAGAGCAGGCCUUCCAGAUGAAUAGCACCCAUAGGAACAGAAAACAAGACACAAUUUAAGGCAUUGUUUGUUUACAGUAAAAGAAUGCAAGGAACCCUUAACAUAGGAGGAAUCUGGGCUCUCACUCUGACCUUCCUUGGUGAACAAGGCUAUCACAUAAGGUUAAAGCACGGCCUCAAAGCGAAUGAAAGAUGUGACGUCACAAGUCUUGUGCCAAAAUGCAUGUUUCUCGAACAGUUCACACUCGCUCGCACUCACACAUACAUGGCACACACACGCAGAGGAUGCUUUGGGGGUUGUAC
rnacentral:lncRNA from 1 species